GAUGAACGCUGGCGGCGUGCCUAAUACAUGCAAGUCGAGCGAACGGACGAGAAGCUUGCUUCUCUGAUGUUAGCGGCGGACGGGUGAGUAACACGUGGAUAACCUAUCUAUAAGACUGGGAUAACUUCGGGAAACCGGAGCUAAUACCGGAUAAUAUUUUGAACCGCAUGGUUCAAAAGUGAAAGACGGUCUUGCUGUCACUUAUAGAUGGAUCCGCGCUGCAUUAGCUAGUUGGUAAGGUAACGGCUUACCAAGGCAACGAUGCAUAGCCGACCUGAGAGGGUGAUCGGCCACACUGGAACUGAGACACGGUCCAGACUCCUACGGGAGGCAGCAGUAGAGAAUCUUCCGCAAUGGGCGAAAGCCUGACGGAGCAACGCCGCGUGAGUGAUGAAGGUCUUCGGAUCGUAAAACUCUGUUAUUAGGGAAGAACAUAUGUGUAAGUAACUGUGCACAUCUUGACGGUACCUAAUCAGAAAGCCACGGCUAACUACGUG
rnacentral:rRNA from 1 species